rnacentral:tRNA from 1 species
AGCUGUUUAGCUAAGUUGUUAGAGUGUCGUGCUAAUAACGCGAAUGUCAUGAGUUCGAGCUUCAUACUGGCCA